rnacentral:lncRNA from 1 species
UUCUGUUUUUCAUAUCCCUGUAAUCCUUGCUAGUUUGGAUUUUAAAAACCUUAAUCACUUUUAGCUUUUCUUUUCAGAUCUCUCCAUCAGCCCCAGUAGACACCACGUUACAUUACCUCCCACUCUCAUUCCCCAAGUCUACACACUGUUUUGCCUUCUCAGAUGCUGUUUUCCAUGCUCCAAUUAGAUUAAGGGCUUGCCUGCACAGGAAAACUGCACAACUAUUCAUUUGCAGUUUGUCUUAAAGGAAUUAUGUUAAGCCUGGGCAAAAGGCCAUGUGGAUAACCUGGUAUUCCUUUGCAGGAAUAUAAAUGGCUUAUUUCAAGUUAGAUCAGGUCGAUCAGGAAGAACUUGCAAAGCAGUGCGUUUCCCUACACCAGAAGGAAGAGAGUCCAGCACUUUCUUCUGCGGGUUGUGCCCUCCAAACGGGAAGAAAUGGCGGGACGGGGUCUUCACCUCAGCAGAAGACACAAUCCGUGGAACAGAGGCAGGGUCAAAGUAACAGAAGAUGAAGGAAGAUGAAACUAGGCAGACUUUAGCAGCAGGAAAAAAAAAAAAGAAGAAGAAGAAGGAAAAAAAACAACAAAAACCCAUCGAGAGGCACAUGAGUAAAUCUUGGAUGCUGUGCAUUCUCAUUUUGAACUGGUUUGAACUGGUGUUGGUUGCUUCUGUGCAGAUAUGGAACGUGGUUAAAGUUUUAUAAUGGAAAAUCUGACAGGCAGUUAACUAAUCCAUGAGUCAUAUUUCGUAAGUGCCUAAAGGUCUCUGAUGUUCGACCUUCAUUUGAUACCCUUGCCAUCAUGGAGUUAUACAUAACCCAUCUGAAGAACAUUCUUUAUAUAGAUGACUGCAUGCUGCCCUUUUAUACCUGCAAGAAUGAGCGCUGCACUUACUGAAACAGGGAAGUCUACUGCCUGCCUUUCCACCCCUCUCUCUCUGUGGCUGUUUACAGAACUGCAGAGUGCUUUUCAGGCUGUCAACUUCCCCUUAUCCUCCUUGUUUCCUGAUUCCCUGAGCUUGUGUAGAAACUGAUGCUGCGGCAGGGCAAGGUAAAGAACUGAAAAAUAAGUGAAGAAUUGUGACAGAAGAACAGGCGUUGCCCCAGGGACUCAUAUACUAAAACAUCUUGAAAAAAUCUUCUGAAAAACAGACCAGUUGUGAGUUGACAACCAGUCUGGCGUCCCUAGGGCAGACCAUGCAUUACAGCAGAACUCAGAGAGGCGUAAUUAUAGAGGACAGGUAGAAAGUUAGCUCCUCGAAUGGGAAUUUCUUUGCACUGGAAUACUUACCUAUUUUGAUGUCUGAUGUUUAAUUAGCACUGUUCCUCUACAAAUACAUUUCUGCCAUGCGGAAACUUUUAACUUGCUUUUAAAAGUUUUGUUCUGAAAAUGGUUCAUGUAAGGUAUUUGAACCUGCUUUGUCUAGUAGUAUUAAUAACCUGGGGCAGACAGUGUUUAUAUGGUACCAAGCACCAUGAUGGCACUUAGUAAAUAAUGAAAUAAAUCACAGGCUUUGUUUCUGUUUAAACACUGUGCUUGACCUCUGUGGAUAUCUUCUGGAUCCUGCUCAACAGCCUCAUUUGGGUGCAACUGGAUAUUGUGCCAAUUUUAUUCCAGCUCCAUUAACGUAUGGCAACAAUACAGACAGUACAUCGCCUGACAAAGAACUCAUAGUCCUCCUCUGGAUUUAUGUAGCAAGAUUUUGGCAGUGGGGUGGCCUGCAAGAAGCCAGCAGCUGCCCCGUGUCAGAUCACAGCCCUUGUAGGAGCAGCCCAGGCCUGAGCUGCAGCCCAUGGAGAGCAGCCUGCAGAGGGGCAGGAGGGCUGAGGGAGCUGCCGCCUGUGGGGAACCGUGUGGAGCAGUGCCUGAAGGGUGGGCUCCAUGGUGCGGAGCUGUGUUGGAACAGUGCUGGGAGAGCUGCAGCAUGUGGAAAGCCCAUGUGGGAUCAGACCAGGAAGGAUGCCAUCCCAUGGGACGGACCCACACAGAACAGAAGCAGAGAGUGAUCAUGGAAGAGCAGAAGACAUGAAGCUUUAUGGACUGACCGCAGCCCCCUUUCCCUAUUCCCCUGUGCUCGUUGAGGGAAGGAGAAGGAGUUACAAUGAGGAGCCCUGAGG